UUUGUGCUCGUAGUGUUUGGAUGCAGAAAAGAAAAUACCUGUAAUUUCAUGGUUUCAAGAGGAUAAAAAACGGAAUAUCUAUUCCUAAAAAAUGUAUAGCGUCGUUGAAUUUAGUGAGGAUGACAGCGUCGCUAUUGUGCGCUCGUCUUGGAUUUCACCCACUAAGAAACAUAGUGCUUGGCCUCCAUUUAAAAAUUCCGAAAAGAUCAAGAAAUGUCUUACGGGCACAAUUUUAGAUGAUGACACGUGGAAUGUUUUUGGAAUUCGACGCAUUUUUUAUGUAACUGAUGACCUUCUCAGUGCUAGAAAGAAAUGUAAAGAAGCCGAACUUAAUUCCGAAGUAGAACUAGACAUUAAGCUAAAAAGAAAACACAAAAUAACUACAAGAUAUCUGUCAGUAUCCAGUGAAGAAGAAGAUGAUGGCCAUUGAAUGAAUUUUCCAAAACCAC